GGGGCUUAGCAGUUCCUGCACUGUUUUUCACUCUCCCAUAGUCCCUUCAAAGGAAUAAAAAGAAGAAAGAUGAGUAGGAGAGAAAUAGGAGUAAUAUUGCAACAGCACUUUAGUGCUUAUGUAGUCUUUCCUCGAAAUUCCUCCAUGGGUUCCCAGUAUGCUCUGCCCUGUUGGUUUCACCAGUAUUUGUGAUACAGAUGCAGACCUUAAUGUCUACCUUUGCCCUCUCAGGGUCUCCAUUAAGUAUUGUCAUGUAAGUCAAUAGGAGUUGUUCUGUGGUUUCAACAGUUUUUUACCUAGAAACACUAAGUGGAUAGAUAGAGCUUGUAGUGCUUAUUUUAGGAGAGGCUGUUCUUGUGUGGGCAGCAAGAUUCCUCUCAAAUGAAAUAACAAAGCAGGACCUUGCCAGGGGAUCUCCUCCCCUACUGCCUGAUUCUCGGUAUUUUCCAGGAUGCUUAAUAAUUUGGGCAGAAGCUUGUCCCACGGAGGUUAAAAGUUCCCAGUCAAAUAACUUCUCUUUUUAUUGAAAAUUACAGAGGAAAUAUUGUUUCUCCUUGCAUUCUUUCUCAUCAGGCAAAAUGCAGAGCCUCUGCCCUGGCAAAAUGGCAUGAACAGCAGCUCCAGCCCAGCAGGCACUUUCAGAAGGGGUCAGAAGACACCUGGAGGUCUAGCACUUCAACGUAUCCUUUAACAUGUGGCAAAAGAUCUGUAUAUGAUCCUCUGGUGCUGUUUCUGCCAGAGACGGAGCUCACUGUUCAUUCAAUAGAAUGAGGCUGCAUAAACCUCCAAGAUCUGCACUUCUUUGGACAAGAAAAUCCACCUCCUAAGAGCUGUU